rnacentral:rRNA from 4 species
AAUCCAUAGGUUAAUGAGGCGAACCGGGGGAACUGAAACAUCUAAGUACCCCGAGGAAAAGAAAUCAACCGAGAUUCCCCCAGUAGCGGCGAGCGAACGGGGAGGAGCCCAGAGCCUGAAUCAGCAUGUGUGUUAGUGGAAGCGUCUGGAAAGGCGCGCGAUACAGGGUGACAGCCCCGUACACAAAAGCGCAUGUGCUGUGAGCUCGAUGAGUAGGGCGGGACACGUGGUAUCCUGUCUGAAUAUGGGGGGACCAUCCUCCAAGGCUAAAUACUCCUGACUGACCGAUAGUGAACCAGUACCGUGAGGGAAAGGCGAAAAGAACCCCGGCGAGGGGAGUGAAAAAGAACCUGAAACCGUGUA